rnacentral:rRNA from 1 species
UACGGGGGGGUAAGCGUUGUCCGGAUUUAUUGGGCGUAAAGAGCGUGUAGGCGGCUAGGUAGGUCCGUUGUGAAAACUCGAGGCUCAACCUCGAGACGUCGAUGGAAACCAUCUAGCUAGAGUCCGGAAGAGGAGAGUGGAAUUCCUGGUGUAGCGGUGAAAUGCGCAGAUAUCAGGAAGAACACCCGUGGCGAAGGCGGCUCUCUGGUACGUGACUGACGCUGAGACGCGAAAGCGUGGGGAGCGAACAGG